CAUGAAGAACGUAGCGAAAUGCGAUAAGUAAUGUGAAUUGCAGAAUUCAGUGAAUCAUCGAAUCUUUGAACGCACAUUGCGCCCGCCAGUAUUCUGGCGGGCAUGCCUGUUCGAGCGUCAUUUCAACCAUCAAGCCCCCGGCUUGUGUUGGGGACCUGCGGCUGCCGCAGGCCCUGAAAAGCAGUGGCGGGCUCGCUGUCACACCGAGCGUAGUAGCAUACAUCUCGCUCUGGGCGUGCUGCGGGUUCCGGCCGUUAAACCACCUUCAUAACCCAAGGUUGACCUCGGAUCAGGUAGGAAGACCCGCUGAACUUAAGCAUAUCAAUAAGCGGAGGA
rnacentral:misc_RNA from 1 species